GACGAACGCUGGCGGCGUGCUUAACACAUGCAAGUCGAACGAAGCUUGAUUACGGAUUUUUCGGAUGAAGUAUGAUAUGACUGAGUGGCGGACGGGUGAGUAACGCGUGAGUAACCUGCUCUCUAGAGGGGGCUAGCGCUUGGAAACGAACGGUAAUACCGCAUCAUGUAUUUUGACCGCAUGAUUGAAAUACCGAAGAUUUAUCGCUGAAGGAUGGACUCGUGUCUGAUUAGGUAGUUGGUGGGGUAACGGCCUAGCAAGCCGACGAUCAGUAGCCGGACUGGGAGGUUGAUCGGACACGGUGGGACUGAGAGACGGCCCAGACACCGACGGGAGGCAGGAGUAAGGAAUAUUGCAGAAUGGAAGCAAGACUGAUGCAGCAACGCCGCGUGAAGAAAGACGGUUUUCGGAUUGUAGACUUCUGUUCUUAGGGAAGAAUAGUGACGGUAGCUAAUAAGGAAGCCACGGCUAACUACGUG
rnacentral:rRNA from 1 species